rnacentral:rRNA from 1 species
UACGUAGGGCGCAAGCGUUGUCCGGAUUUACUGGGCGUAAAGAGCGCGCAGGCGGUCGUUCAAGUCGAGUGUGAAAGCCCCCGGCUCAACUGGGGAGGGUCACUCGAUACUGAUCGACUGGAAGGCAGGAGAGGGAAGCGGAAUUCCCGGUGUAGUGGUGAAAUGCGUAGAUAUCGGGAGGAACACCAGUGGCGAAGGCGGCUUCCUGGCCUGUUCUUGACGCUGAGGCGCGAAAGCUAGGGGAGCAAACGGG